AUUGAACGCUGGCGGCAGGCCUAACACAUGCAAGUCGAGCGGAUGAAGGGAGCUUGCUCCUGGAUUCAGCGGCGGACGGGUGAGUAAUGCCUAGGAAUCUGCCUGGUAGUGGGGGAUAACGUCCGGAAACGGGCGCUAAUACCGCAUACGUCCUGAGGGCGACAGUGGGGGAUCUUCCGACCUCACGCUAUCAGAUGAGCCUAGGUCGGAUUAGCUAGUUGGUGGGGUAAAGGCCUACCAAGGCGACGAUCCGUAACUGGUCUGAGAGGAUGAUCAGUCACACUGGAACUGAGACACGGUACAGACUCCUACGGGAGGAAGCAGUGGGGAAUAUUGGACGAUGGGCGAAAGCCUGAUCCAGCCAUGCCGCGUGUGUGAAGAAGGUCUUCGGAUUGGAAAGCACUUUAAGUUGGGAGGAAGGGCAGUAAGUUAAUACCGUGCUGUUUUGACGUUACCAACAGAAUAAGCACCGGCUAACUUCGUG
rnacentral:rRNA from 1 species